AAAUUGAAGAGUUUGAUCAUGGCUCAGAUUGAACGCUGGCGGCAGGCCUAACACAUGCAAGUCGAACGGUAACAGGAAGCAGCUUGCUGUUUCGCUGACGAGUGGCGGACGGGUGAGUAAUGUCUGGGAAACUGCCUGAUGGAGGGGGAUAACUACUGGAAACGGUAGCUAAUACCGCAUAACGUCGCAAGACCAAAGAGGGGGACCUUCGGGCCUCUUGCCAUCGGAUGUGCCCAGAUGGGAUUAGCUAGUAGGUGGGGUAACGGCUCACCUAGGCGACGAUCCCU
rnacentral:rRNA from 1 species